CUCCUUGGACUCGCCGAGUCUCUCCUUAAAAUUGAGGUCUUCUUUCUUUUCUUGACUUUCCAAACUUUGGGGUGUUACAACUCUCCCCCACUUAAACUAAACUUCGUCCUCGAAGUUUGCUAUGAUCAACUGCCUGCGAACUGCCUCCAAUUCUCUGUCUGGAAAAUCUAACACCCUUUUGUCCGACAUUCCAGCCACUCACCAUGCCGAUCAUUACCGUUGGAACAUACUGAAUCCUUCUCUUUUCCAUAAUUUCCUCAACGUUACUUCCUCUGACUGAAAAUCCUGCUGCCUCCCAUUCGCCUACCGGAUGCACUGAGACUACUCUGGUCUAACCAAUCUCCCUAUAUCUGAGUUAUCGGACUCCCACCGGUCACUACACUCCAUCACAAGCUCCUAGUCUCUUCCAGCGACUCCUGAAGAUACUCCGAUUAUCUAUAACUGUUCUAUCCAUCCUGCCGCUCAUACUGAAACGAUGCUGCUGGAACCAGCUUGCUUUUAUCCCACCUGAUUACUCAUCUCCUACUUACUCGAGCCUUCCCUCCUGGAUGAAAAGAUACCUGCCUAGCUAUCCUUACAGAUCACUUAUACGCAGCAAAAGGCUCAACUGAUCCUGCUGAGAGGGACUUGCCAUUUCCAAAUCAACCAACUAUAUUGUCAGCACUUGCAUUCCAACUCAAAUACAAUACUGACCCAAAACCCUGAAACCUUCCAAACACUGAACUGCCUGCAAUACUGAACAUGCCUGAAACACUGAACUGGCUGAAACACUGAGCUGCCUGAAACACUGAACUGGCUGAAACACUGAGCUGCCUGAAACACUGAACUGACUGAAACACUGAGCUGCCUGAAACACUGAACUGGCUGAAACACUGAGCUGCCUGAAACACUGAACUGACUGAAACACUGAGCUGCCUGAAACACUGAACUCCAACCCAACUGUGGAGUCAAGGGACUCCUCACUUAGUCGCUUCCACGACUUCUGAACGAAAUCUUCCUCUAGGACUAGUUUCCACUAGUUAUCCUGUCACUGUGGCUCUAGCAACCUUCCGAUCCAACCGAUCGGGUCCAUACGUCACAUCCUGACAUCAUCAAUUCCACGACUAACAACAUGAUGGCUCCCAGACUGACNNNN
rnacentral:lncRNA from 1 species